rnacentral:rRNA from 1 species
ACGCUCGACACCUACGGGAGCAGCAGUGGGGAAUAUUGCACAAUGGGGGAAACCCUGAUGCAGCGACGCCGCGUGGAGGAAGAAGGUCUUCGGAUUGUAAACUCCUGUUGUUGGGGAAAAAGAGGAUGGUACCCAACAAGGAAGUGACGGCUAACUACGUGCCAGCAGCCACGGUAAUCUGAGCGGGCUGGCAAGGC